rnacentral:rRNA from 1 species
GAUGAACGCUGGCGGCGUGCCUAAUACGUGCAAGUCGAGCGAACCACUUCGGUGGUGAGCGGCGAACGGGUGAGUAACACGUAGGUGAUCUGCCCAUCAGACGGGGACAACGAUUGGAAACGAUCGCUAAUACCGGAUAGGACGAAAGUUUAAAGGUGCUUCUGGCACCGCUGAUGGAUGAGCCUGCGGCGCAUUAGCUAGUUGGUAGGGUAAAGGCCUACCAAGGCGACGAUGCGUAGCCGACCAGAGAGGGUGAACGGCCACACUGGGACUGAGACACGGCCCAGACUCCUACGGGAGGCGGCAGUAGGGAAUCUUCGGCAAUGGGCGAAAGCCUGACCGAGCAACGCCGCGUGAAUGAUGAAGGCCUUCGGGUUGUAAAAUUCUGUUAUAAGGGAAGAACGACUUUAGUAGGAAAUGGCUAGAGUGUGACGGUACCUUAUGAGAAAGCCACGGCUAACUACGUGCCAGCCGCCGCGGUAA